AAUCAACGCUGGCGGCGUGCCUAACACAUGCAAGUCGCACGAGAAGGGGAGCAAUCCCUGAGUAAAGUGGCGCACGGGUGAGUAACACGUGAAUUAUCUACCUCCGAGUGGGGAAUAACUGAGAGAAAUCUUAGCUAAUACCGCAUAACACUUACGAGUCAAAGCAGCAAUGCGCUUGGAGAGGAGUUCGCGGCCGAUUAGUUAGUUGGCGGGGUAAUGGCCCACCAAGACGAUGAUCGGUAUCCGGCCUGAGAGGGCGCACGGACACACUGGAACUGAAACACGGUCCAGACUCCUACGGGAGGCAGCAGUGGGGAAUUUUGCGCAAUGGGGAAACCCUGACGCAGCAACGCCGCGUGGAGGAUGAAGUAUCUUGGUACGUAAACUCCUUUCGAUUGGGAAGAUAAUGACGGUACCAAUAGAAGAA
rnacentral:rRNA from 1 species